UACGGAGGGGGCUAGCGUUGUUCGGAAUUACUGGGCGUAAAGCGCGCGUAGGCGGACUUCUAAGUCGGGGUGAAAUCCCGGGGCUCAACCCCGGAACUGCCUUCGAUACUGGGAGUCUGGAGUUCGAGAGAGGUGAGUGGAAUUCCGAGUGUAGAGGUGAAAUUCGUAGAUAUUCGGAGGAACACCAGUGGCGAAGGCGGCUCACUGGCUCGAUACUGACGCUGAGGUGCGAAAGCGU
rnacentral:rRNA from 1 species